rnacentral:rRNA from 1 species
AGUGAACGCUGGCGGUAGGCCUAACACAUGCAAGUCGAACGGCAGCACAGUAAGAGCUUGCUCUUACGGGUGGCGAGUGGCGGACGGGUGAGGAAUACAUCGGAAUCUACUUUUUCGUGGGGGAUAACGUAGGGAAACUUACGCUAAUACCUCAUACGACCUACGGGUGAAAGCAGGGGAUCUUCGGACCUUGCGCGAUUGAAUUAGCCGAUGUCGGAUUAGCUAGUUGGCGGGGUAAAGGCCCACCAAGGCGACGAUCCGUAGCUGGUCUGAGAGGAUGAUCAGCCACACUGGAACUGAGACACGGUCCAGACUCCUACGGGAGGCAGCAGUGGGGAAUAUUGGACAAUGGGCGAAAGCCUGAUCCAGCCAUACCGCGUGGGUGAAGAAGGCCUUCGGGUUGUAAAGCCCUUUUGUUGGGAAAGAAAAGCAGCAGGUUAAUACCCCGCUGUUCUGACGGUACCCAAAGAAUAAGCACCGGCUAACUUCGUG